CACAGAUGUCAGUGGAGCUUAUAGAGGUUAUGUUGUUUUCACAAUUGCUGAGCUGAAAGCAAAACAAAAAUUUCACAAAAUCAUAAAAUGGCCUCAAACAUCAUCUAAAUAUAACAGGGGGUAAACCCUUCCCAGCAGACAGGGCUGUGUGGAAGGGGAACAACUGUUGAAUCUGGAUGUGAUAUUGUUCAGUAAGUCCAAAAAGCACCAGAAUAUUUUGCUUGACUGCUUAUCACUGUGCCUCAAAGCAGAGAUAUCAGAGACCUCAAAGCAGGAAUGGCUUAAUCUUCACUCAGUGCUGCCAUUACGGACAGAUGAUGAAUCUGAGAGGGUUAGAAAUAGGCAAAGAAGGAAGAAGCAGCCUAUCAUUGUAUUUUGCUGACACCAUCAACACUGGAAGAACAUAAAUUACUAAUUUCCAAGAGGACUCAGGUGAAAAUGCAUCUUUAGAGGAGAUUGUCAGCAGCUGCUGGGCAGAUAAACUGUAACUGAACCAGAAAUGUGAGGAAAAAAAAGAAAGCAGCAUUUUGAAAGUUAUUCAAAGCAGUCAGAUAAAGACUUUGGUCCUGAAACUGCCCGUCUUGCGAUGCUAUGUUGGUACAGCCGUGACUGUACCGUGACUCAGUGUGUGCUCUAUGGGCAGACCUUCAGAUUACCUGUGCAAACAUCUGAUGCAGAGAGUAAAUGAUGCUACAUCAUAUUUGAGUCUACGCUAGAGGUGAGCAAAUGGUCCAUGCUGAAUCCUACUUCAUAUCUGUUAAGCUAUGUUUGUGUCUGUCCUCACUCCCUGCCGUUUUGAUCAAUUUACUUGACAUGUAGAUAGCAAAACUGAGGUAGCUAGAAGUCACAGAAACAGGGUAGGAAAAUCACAUUUCAUCUCUGUAUACACUGUGUGUAAGUCUCCAUGUACACUCAAUUGCAAAAGCAGUGCUGUGUCCUUAACAUGUGGGCUAAGUUGCUGCAUAAACAGUUCAUCUCUUUUUUACACCAAGUUAUCACUAAGUAAACUGUCACCAGCAAGAUGCAUUUAGAAGUAGUUGGGAAUUGUUAUCCCCUACUUUGAGUAUUAUUUUUAUGCUGAAAAUAAGAACCUCAGUUACUGUUAAGAAAGUCCUAGAAGAUUUACUGGUUAGCUUUUAAAAAGUUGCUAUUAUCUUAAAUAAGAUAUAGAAGAACCCAUAAUGUUCUCAGUGUUUUAAAGUGUCUUUCUCUUAUGUAUGUAAAACAACCCAGUAGCUCCAAAAGAGGAGCUUGAAUAGAUAGCUAAGACAGAAACUAUGCAACUACCCCAUAGUAUGGUCAAAGUCAGCAAGUUGUAAAAGAUCUUCUGCCUUAAGUGGCACCUUCAGAUACAUAUGCCUUUAAGUUCUGUAACGUCAGAU
rnacentral:lncRNA from 1 species